AUGAAAAUAUGCGAGGGAGGGUGAGAGCCCUCAACUAGGGUUCGCACAGCGGCGGAGCCGCGCAACAUCGGCUUGCCGAUGGCCCCGAAGGGGUGAGGAACGAAGUGACGAAUAAUCCCUCCCUCACCGCCA
rnacentral:sRNA from 1 species